rnacentral:rRNA from 1 species
AACGAACGCUGGCGGCAUGCCUAACACAUGCAAGUCGAACGAGACCUUCGGGUCUAGUGGCGCACGGGUGCGUAACGCGUGGGAACCUGCCCUUAGGUUCGGAAUAACUCCCCGAAAGGGGUGCUAAUACCGGAUAAUGUCUUCGGACCAAAGAUUUAUCGCCUUUGGAUGGGCCCGCGUUGGAUUAGCUAGUUGGUAGGGUAAAAGCCUACCAAGGCGACGAUCCAUAGCUGGUCUGAGAGGAUGAUCUGCCACACUGGGACUGAGACACGGCCCAGACUCCUACGGGAGGCAGCAGUGGGGAAUAUUGGACAAUGGGCGAAAGCAUGAUCCAGCAAUGCCGCGUGAGUGAUGAAGGCCUUAGGGUUGUAAAGCUCUUUUACCCGGGAUGAUAAUGACAGUACCGGGAGAAUAAGCUCCGGCUAACUCCGUG